GGUGCUCCAGACUUUUUAGCUUAUUGAAUCAAAUAUCCUUAUAAAAGGAAACAGUAAAUAAGAACACAUCAGCAGCAAUGAUGCUGAUUAAGAAUGGAGACACCCCGUGCAGCAAGCAAUAUAGUGAAAUUCUCCCCCCCCCCCCAAAUGUUGAUGGCCUUAUUUCACUGUCCAUCAUAAACUUAGCGAAGCAGGCUUUCUCUAUCCAGCUCUCCUUUUAUUGGGCAUAAAUCACACAUGACAGGAAGUUUUAUGCCUAAAUCCAUUUACUGUCCUUGUUGGUAGUCUUUAAAUUAAUAUUUAUAAGCUCAGAAAGGCCUAAAAGGAUGCAGCACUAAAACACCUAAAUGCUUCAGUUUGGCUUGAGCUGAUGCACAGGCAGUCCUCCCCUUCUACUAUCUUGACCACUGACAUUCCUUAAUUAUCAGUGACCAGGUACCCACGCUCUCUGCUCUCUCGAGCUCACAAAUCACAGCCUUUGAUGAUACUGCCACAGACAAAGGGGGUGGAUCCAGAAGGCUCUGCUGGGGUGAUAGAUUGGGCAAACAUUGAAAAGCAAAUACAAAGGAAAGCUAAAAGAAACCGUGCUAGCUGCAAACUUCCUUUGUUGUGACCUGGAAUAGGAACAGAACUAUGUGAUCCCAUUUGAAUGUUGCUACUCAGCAAUCAGAAAUAUAUCGUAUUUACAAGAUGUAAAGAGCAAGUUGGAAGCCAGACUGCAUGUUAACCAGUUGCACUUAUGGUUUGGGUUGUAGACCUUAUAAACAUUCAUUUGUUGGUUAGCAUAUUAAAAAGUAUUUUAAGUCAUUUUAGUUAUUGUUUCCUGCUGCGUAUUUUAUUAUGUCUUAAAAUAGCACUACUCAAAAUGGUGGUCCCUGACAGACCCGGCCCUAGGUAUUUUUCAAGUGUAGGCGAACAGAAUUUUGGCGCCCCCCCCCCCAAACCAAUCAUUGAAAAAUAAAAGCGUUGGAUAAGCGAAAAUGUUGGAUAAUAAGGAGGGAUUAAGGAAAAGCCUAUUAAACAUCGAAUUACAUUAAGAUUUUACAAAUUAAGCAACAAAACAUCAUGUUUUACAACAAAUCAACAGAAAAAGCAGUCUCGACUGCACCCCCGUAUGUUUUGUGCCUGAAGCGACCGCUUAAUUUGCCUCAUUGUUGGACCGGCUCUGGUCCCUGAACAAGCCAAUGACUUCUGAUCCAAGUAGUUUCCAGGAGAGAAACAAAUAGAUAAUGGGCACAAAUUGUAUUUGUUUCUAAUAUAUUAGUCCUCCCCCACCUGCCCCCGACUGCAUGUAUAUGAGUCUUCAAGCUGCCUGUUAAUUUACGUUGACCCUAUGAAUUUAAUAGGAUUUCCUUAGGCAAGGAAUACUCAGGAGUGAUUUCACCAGUUCCUUCCUCUGAAAUAUAGCCUACAGCACCUGGUCUUCAAUGGCAGUCUUCCACUCAAGUACUAACCAGAGCUGACUCUUCUUAGCCUUUAUCGCUUCAGAUGAUGAGCCAAAUACCAUCACCCCUGGACCUUCUGCACUGAAUUCUCCCUUCUGGUGGCCAUUUCAUGUCUUGAGAGGAUCAGAGAAGUGUUUGGCUAUGUCCCUGUAACCAGACACAGAAUGAAUGCAUCAGUGCUGAGAUCUGCCAGGGUUCUGCAGAGAUAUCAGUGCUGCUGUAAUCAUUUUAUGUCUCCCAACAGGGACAAAGACAGAUAGAAUCAUAGAGUUGGAAGACACUUCAAGGACUGUCCAGGCCAACCCUCCUGCCAUGCAGGAACAUACAACCCUUUCAUGCUAUGUGCCCACUCUGCACAUGACAUGAAACAAUUGUGCCAGUGACUUCAAUGCUGUACAGGAGACCAUGAGAAUUUUGGACCACCUACUGCAGCACCCAAAAGAGGACAUAUUCAAACACAAGGAAAAAUUACAUGUGCACAUAUCACUAACAGGCUGUCAAUCUGUGAAUGGAACACACUUAUUCAGCAAGCUCCAUUGUAGAGUCAGGAUUUGACCUCAUGGCUUUCCAAUCCUAGGCCACAUUUAUAACCAGAACAAGAUAUUUCUUCACACUUCUGUGGGUAGCAUAGAUAAGCUGGUUGAGCUAAUUACUCUAUCACUUCGUAGCUAUUGAGAGUCAGAUAUUUAUAAGUAUCCAAUGGGAUUUGGCUGUUCCAAGCAACAGAUUAUAGGAAAUGGCUACCAGAUAUGUAAUUUGGCAACUAAAUAUUUCAUAGAAUUGAAAUGGCUUUGUGGGACAAUUAAAACUGGAUUAUAGUCCAAAGCUAUUUGGCAUGGAAUGUGGCUUCAGUAAAAGACUAUUUAAAACUGUGACCAUAACACUUGGCAGGCAAUUGUAUUGUGUUUUGUGCACUCAAGUAGGGAUGCAAGAAUAUCUCAAUUUCAGCUUCUCUCAGUCUCUCAUUUUCCCCAAAUUAUAUUAAUGCUGCCCUUUUCCCACAUUAAUUUGAGAUAUAAAAUAAAAGUUAGCAUGAAAAUGUAUGUGUAUUUUUCCUUGUCUUUCUUGCAAUAAUAGGAUUUAAGGUAGCUAACAACAUAUUUAAAUCAAAAUAAAAGAAAAACAAUAUAGUCAUUAAUAUAAAUAUAGGUAAAGGUAAAGGUAAAGAUUUUCCCCUGACAUUAAGUCUAGUCAUGUCCGACUCUGGGGAUUGGUGCCCAUUUCUAAGCCAAAGAGCCAGCAUUGUCUGUAGACACCUCCAAGGUCAUGUGGCUGGCAUGACUGCAUGGAGUGCCGUUACCUUCCCGCUGGAGCGGUACCUAUUGAUCUACUCAUAUUUGCAUGUUUCCGAACUGCUAGGUUGGCAGAAGCUGGGGCUAACAGUGGGAGCUCACACCACUCCCCGGAUUCGAACCACCGAUCUUCCAUCAGCAAGUUCAGCAGCUUAGUGGUUUAACCCGCUGUGCCACUGAGGGCUCCUCUAAUAUAAAUAUAUGGACACUAAAAAGCAAUGAAACAAUUUAUGAAGUUAAAACAUUAAACAUUAAAGUCCACGCUUCCCCCAGAAAAUUUUCCCUCAGACCCACUGCAGAUCUCACACCAAUGUAAAUCUACCAAUGGAUCAAAUCUAAAGCUCCCUAUAAAUAUUUGUUUCAAUACAAAUUCAGUUAAGUAAAACAUUUUCUUGAAGCUGUCCAGUGCAACAUGUGAAUGGGUUUACCCUAUGUAAGCUCACACAAGCAGCUGUCACUGUGUUAACUUUAUUUCUCCUUAAAUUAUUUUUUAUAAAAAAAAAUAUUCUGCCUUAUUCUACAGUAUUUGCCCAAGGCAAGAUUUUUUUAAAAGCGCCUUGAGCAAAAUGUUUCAAAAGAGCUCUGAUGCACUUGGUUAAUAGGCUGCUUUUCUGUACUAGAGAAAUGAGAUGUUUUGGAAUUCGGCGGGGAAAGGUUUCUGCAUUGCAUUCAAAACAGGGGGGAGUUCAAAGUGUUCCAUUUAGAAAAUUAAUCUUAAGAUCAUGAAAGCUCCUUCCUUUUCUUCUGCCAAUAUUUCUUAUGGAAGAUGUUACUUUUAUGUUGUUGUCCGGAAGCCUCCUCUAAUAGCAAUGUACUUGUAGAUCUACCAAAAUGUGGAUGCUCCACAUUGCCAGGGAGAUGCCUGCCAAAUGGAUGAUCAUGGUUUCACCGGAGUCUUGACCGAGGCCAAAGUGACAUUGCAAUUAAUGUAGUUGGAAGACCUCAGAACUGAAAUAUUUGGACACCGUUUUACCGUUGGUUCCAACUCAUUGCUCCUAAUUACUGUUUUACUCCAACCUUCGGCUAACCAUGCAGCAAAGGCUAAAACAACAGCUAUAGGACUUCUACAAAACCCUUUGUGUAGCAGUGAACCAGAUGGUUGCAUGGAUUUUUCUGACAGUGACAAUCACCAAUUGGGGAUAAAGUGCAAAGGAAAAAGACUAUCUGUUUUGUCACAACUUCAGGUGGAUCUGGCUUGCUUACUCCCCCUGCCCCCAUGUAGGAGGAAGGAGCAUCCAGUGGUCAUCUGGAGUCCGGAGGUAACGUUGGCCCGGUAUGGUUCUGGUAACACCCUGGCGUGGAUAGCGGUAUCGGCCAGCUCUGGGCUGCUUGAUCCAUGAUCCAGGACCCAUGCAUGGCAGCCAAUCCUUAUUCUUGUAACCAAUAAACAAGUUGUGUCCAAGUUUAUAGCCCAACCCUAUGUUUGUGUCAUUUUUGGUUCUGUCGGACGGAGGUGUGUCACCCAUGCACACGUAACCAAAGCUUUUUGCCAUGCACAGGUCUCAAAGUUUUCCCAAACAUUACUCUCAUUAUAUAUCUUUUAGACAUUGUAUGGACAUUUUCCUACAUCUUGUUGCAGACUACAAACAGGGGAGCAUGCAUUUGGGUCAUUCCAGAAGUUUCCUUGCAGGCACUUUGGUGGGUUUUUUUUUUUCUUCCGUGUCUGGAGCAACCUGAGUCGCUUCUGGUGUGAGAGAAUUGGCCUUCUGCAAGGACGUUGCCCAGGGGAUGCCCGGAUGUUUUUGAUGUUUUUACCAUCCUUGUUGGAGGCUUCUCUCAUGUCCCCACAUGGAGCUGGAGCUGAUAGAGAGAGCUCAUCCGCGCUCUCCCCAGGUGGGAUUCAAACCUGGCAGCCUUCAGGUCAGCAACUCAACCUUCAAGUCACAAGGCUUUAACCCACUACUCCACCGGGGGCUCCACUUUGGUGGGUGAAAAUUUACUUCUCAGUUCCUUCUUCUGGCCUGUGGGGAAAGCACACAUAAUUCUUAAUGGGAACUGCCAGGGUUCCUGUCAUCCGCACUCCAACAUAGAAGACUCUACAUGUUUGACAAGACGAUGUUAGCAUCAGCAUGGAAUUCUUCAAUGUGUGCAUGGCAGGCACCCUCUUUAAAACAUCAAGCUUGCUAGAAGCAGAACAGAGCAGAAUCAAACAGGAGAUGGAAAUGUCAGAAGAUAGCAAGUGUGUAUCAGAUUAGAAGGAUGGAGGCAGAGACAAUGCAAAAUCCUAAUUUGUUGAUUGUUCCCUUGACUGAAAUUUAACAAAUCUAAACAUUGAACUUCCUUUAGUGGUUUCAAAUACAAUUUUCACUAUAGAAAUAAUUAUAUGCAGUUGCUUGUAGAACAUUAAGGAUGCAUCUACACUGAAGAAUUAAUGUAAUUGUACACCACUUUAACUGCUGUGGCUCAAUGUUAUGGAAUUGGGGGAGUUAUAGUUUUACAAGGUUUUUAGCCUUUUCUACCAAAGCGUGCUGGUUCCUUGCCAAACUACAAAACCCCAGAUUCCAUAAUAUUGAGCAGUUGAAGUGAUGUCAAAUAGUAUUAAUUUUAUGGUAUAGAUGCAAUCUGUGACACUCAUUUAGCUCUUCAGCUUGUUCAGAAGCACUGCUGUUACAUCUGGAUGUCAGCUCUGGUACUUCAAGAUUACUUCUGACAUUCCCUCAAGCUGCCAUUAGACAAACACAAAAUCAGAAACAGACAUUUCCACAGUUUAUACCAAUGUAUGCAGUGUCUAACAAAAGGGAUUCUAGAGUCAGAGCAAAUCUAAGUUCUAGAUUUAACUGUCCGAGUCUUCAAAAUCUCUGACCACUUUGUUAUAUCACAGUGGUUCUCAUCCUGGGGUCCCCAGAUGUGUUAGGACUACAACUCCCAGAAAUCCCAGCCAGUUUACCAGUUUUUAGGAAUUCUGGGAGUUGAAGGCCCAAAACAUCUGGGGACUCCAGGUUGAAAACCACUGUUCUAUCACUUCUUCUAAACUGGUCCUAUGCUAUCAUGACGCCAGUGAUGCUCUGAUGCCUUUGAACAUUUUGUCUGUCCCGAGUAUAACAUAUAGUUUCCAUACUGUUUUUCCUUAAUAGGAAUAAGUCCCCUCCCUUCCUCCAAAGUUUCAUAGCUUCCAGCAUGACACAAAAGCAGGAAGUACAGACCCUGUAGCAACAAGUGUUGGCUAUCCCUCCCAGUUUGGUGUCAUCUGCAAACUUGAUGAUCGUGCCUUCUAACCCUUCGUUUAAGUCAUUAAUAAAGAUGUGGAACAGAACCGGGCCCAGGUUCUGCGGCACUCCACUUGUGAUUUCUUUCCAAGAUGAAGACGAUGCAUUGGCUGAAUGGAAUGAGAAGGUCCAGCUUGUCAAGGCCUAUUACUUAUUCACCACCCCAUCACACCUUUGACACAUCUGUCAGUUUUUAUACAAGAGCCAGAAUGAGCAAGGAUGUAGAAGUUUCCUUCGAUGCACUGGAGGGCAGUCCUUUUUAACCACACCCUCAAGGCUGACAUGACAGGGUGCCGCUGCAAUGACAGAGGACCAGAAGGAAGGUAGGAUUUUUUUGCCUGUUUCUAUCAUGCUGCACUUCUAGGCAGCUUUGUAUUUAGCCCAAAUAAUUUUGUCACAAUGAUCAGAGGUUUUAUUUUCAUGAACCUCCAGCUUUCUCCUUGGGAAAAUGGGCUGAAAGAAUUGACAUUGAUAUUUGUAUUGAAUUUUGGUGGGCACCUUUUUGUUUUUGAUUUCAUUACUGCCAAGGAAAUGGGUGUGGAGUGUUUUCCCAACUGAUUAAAAAAAACCCGGAAGUUUUGCAAAUAGAAGGAUAAAUGUGUACUAUUUUUAAAAGUAAAAAAUAGUGGAAGUCUAUUAUUGGAUGAGAUCCUAUAAAUGUUUAUGAUGCCCUUGAAAUCAUGUGGACUUACUCUUGUAUAGAAUUUCAGCCAAAGUCAUCCAUGUGAGAAACCCAUUUGGUCAUUCUUUAGUCAUAUCUCACCAAAUGUUAUACUUAUCAUAUUAUAAAAUAAAAAAGGAAAAAGAUUAGUAAUUUACAGAUCCAACAACACAAUCAUGUAGAGUGAUAAGCAUAUGCUUUGCAGGCAUUGGACCAUAAGUUCAUUCUUGACACUCCCUUUUUAAAGGAUCGACUGUCAGGUGUCAGGUGUCAAAUGCCAGUCUACCUAGGACUCCAGGGAAAUCAUGUCAGAUGACAAAGACCACCAGAUAAAUCUAGGUUAAAGGGCUAAGGAGCUGCUCACAUGGCUGGCUGGGCCAAGGGCACAUCUGGGCUACUAUUGUUUCUCUGCAAGUAAGCCGCUCCCUCCCAGAGGCUUGCUGCCAAUGUCGCAUUUCUGUUCUUAUGGUUCAGUGCCCUGGUGUGAUAUCACUAGAAAUGUGAUAUCACCAGCAUGCCUCUGUAUUUGGUCUUUUGGCAGUGUUGACAGUGGAUUGGGCUGCAUUCAGCCUGGUCCAACUGUCCACACCUCCAAAAUUGUGAGAUUCCAUAUCCCCAUAUACCCUUGAUGCACAUGAAUGGUUGGAUGUUACUUUAUUUUGGCUACAGAGACGUGGCCCUAGACUCUGUUUCCUAGACUCUGGAAUAAACAAUACUAGGGCUGAUGGACAAAUAAUCUGAUCUGUUAUAAGGCUGUUCCAUGUUCUUAACAACAUUAUACUGUUUUCUUACCUAUGUUUCCUUCAAGUGCUGUUCCUUGCAGAAAGAGGUACACUGGUUUGGGUGUCUUUGAAACAUCAUCUUACUGUACAUUGUAAAAUAUUUCUAGAAAACUGGUCCAACUCAAGCUUUGAAGGUCAAGGGAGCUAUUGAUGGUACUGAUUAAAAAUAUGUACAAAAUUACACUCAUGGCAAAAUUUGAAGAACUGGGCCCCAAAAUAAAUAUUUAGAUUAUGGAUUACCUUGCAUCUAAAAAGCUCAGCAUCCACUGUGCUAAGCUUACAAGCUUAUUUCAACACAUGCAGCAUGGGAAGUGCUGGAGAAGAAAUUUAUUGGCACACAAUCCCUUAGAGAAAAAUAUGCUUUACACUUCAUAAGACUGCUAAGAAAAUGGGAUAAAAUUGCUUUUCAAGUCUUUGAAGGCAUUCAAAAAGUAUGGAAUAUGUGUGCAAAGAUGCUUUAAUCAAAGGAAAGAUGCAUACAGAAAUACAGUGUUCCCUCACUACUUCACAGUUCACUUUUCGUGGAUUUGCUGUUUCGCGGUUUUUCAACAAACUCUAAAACACUAUUCUAAAUAAUAAAAAAUUACAAUUUACAGCCUAAGGAAGGGAGGAAGGAGAAGCUGAAGAGAGAGAAAAGGAGCCCAAGUGGCAACAGGAGGAGAAGGAGGUGAUUUAUCAACACACAAGUAGUUUAUAAAGACUUGAAAUAGUGUGUAACUACUAAAAUAAUGUAUAAAUAUUAAAAUAAAUAUAGUGUCCCUACUUCGUGGAUUUUCACUUAUUGUGGGUGGUCCUGGAACCUAACCCCCAUGAUAAGUGAGGGAACACUGUACAUACAAUAGGAAAAGGUAUCCUGCAAUAAGGACAUUUUGGGAAAAUGAAUAUAUAAAUAAUAUAUAGGGAAUUGUGCAUCUUGUAAGCCAAUAUUGCAUUAGGAAGGGAACGAGAAAGUCUGUUCGAUUAAUAGAACACAAAAAUGACACUGACAUUAUUUUAACACAGUGGUAGAGAGUGCAGCAUUCCAGGCCGUUUUGUGAACCUCAGAAUCAUCAACGGCCAACGUUUUAAAAAUGUUUUUUGAUACAAAGUGCCCCAAAUGUUCUAUAGGGGGAAAUGUGAACAAUGUUACCACCUUUUAUUUAUUGAUUAACUUUAUUUCUAUCCUGUCUUUUUCCUGAUAUAGGGACUCAAGGUGGCUUUUAGGUCUCCUGGGCCACUUUAGGUCCAGGUGAAGCAUUCUUUCCAACAGGAGGUGAUGUAGAAGUGAAUUUCCAAUUGACUUCUGUUGCAAAAAUGGCUUCUAUUGAGGCUAAAAUCAUUGUUCUAUUUAUUUGUCAUCAUGAGCUGCAGAGGCAGUGCUGUUUAAAUUUUCUGUUUCAAAACAAGGAAAUGUCUCAUGUUGUCCACAUCAGUGAAACUUCCAAACCACACAUUAUAGCAACAUGAAGAAAAAGCUGCUGACUGGAUUCAGGAUCAAGAUCUAGGAUGCUUAAAUUUCAAAAUGCAACUAAACAUGGCUUGUCUGGGAUGUAAUCGCACACAUAUAGCUAGUGAAUGCCUCAUAUUGGCUGAAUCUAGGCCCAAACAUUUUAUAAAGCAUUAAACAAUUUUUUUGGGGGGGAAAGCAGGAUGCAAUUAUGAGGUUUCUAAAUGAUUUAAGCCAUCUCUCGCCAUUCCCCCUCCUGCCUAGCUUUAUUUCUUGUUAGCUGUUUAAAUCAGCAGUUUUAAAGCUCCAGUUCACCAAAAAUGCUAAUGCUCAUUGCUCCUCAAUUGUAAUUCAGAUUGCUCCAUGAAGCCUCCAGCAUGUAUUCAAGAGAAGAAUCGAAGCUUGCCAAUUGGAAUGCUGGGGGUCACAGAUGCUCCACAGUUUUAUUUUAUGUUUAAAGCAUUGAUGAAGGAGAGGUUGCAAGGGAAACCCACCUCACCAGUCCAGAUUUUGCUGCUUGUCUCCCUUGGAUUUGGCUCCGUAGGCCCGUGUUGCUCUAUGUCUGCAAGAGUCCCAUCUCAGCCCCCACCCGCUUGCCCUCUCCCCGGCCUGCUUUCCAACAUGGUCAGAGAAGCAGCACUCUGUCACCUGGAGUGAAGGCUGACAGGAAUGAACACGGGCAGGAAGCAGCGUGACACACGCAUUGCCAUGCAUGAGUGACCAAGAGCCAUCAAGAGCAAUUAAACAUUGAGAGCUCGGGAUCUUUUUGGACAGGUUCAAGUUUGCUGGCACUGCUGUGAUUAGAUGUUUUGCACUGUUUCCCUUGUAGUCAGUAUAUGACAUAUUCCUUCUCGCUUGCUCUUUUCUGAUGUGUGUCUGCGUGCAUCUCUCUGCGUCUUGCUUUGUUCUAGCAUUAGCACAUCUUCAACGCAAUCCUUGAGAUUUUAUAAUAGGAUAAUUGUGGAUGUGAAUUGUGAAGAUUAAAACCAGGCAAGAAUGUAAAAGCUUGAAAUAUCAAUGAUUUCCUGAUGCCUAAUGGAAAUACCUCAAUGAACCUUAGACUAUUUUCAUUGGACCCAAUAGGUACUGCCUGGGAGCAUCUCUUGCAUUGUUUGGGCCUUGCAAACAUCAUCCAAUAUUGUUACUAUAAAAGACAAGCUGAAUGUACAUUUUUGCAAUGUAGAUUUAAUAUUCAUAUUACAACUGGAAAAGUAAAAACUAGAAUUAUAGUUAUAGAAAAUAUAAUAGGAGUAAGAAGAUAUUCCCUAUUAUUAAUCCCAAUUGGAAAAGGGAUUUCUGUCAGUUGGAAAGCUCUAUCAAGAAUAAUAAUAGGGCACUAAAGGCACAGUUUUUUCCAGUAUUUAAACUUCCCAUAUUGUUCAAGAUUUUUUUUGUGUGCAGGAACGUGUAUUUUUAACCCACAAAAACAAAUUUUCUAUGCAGAAAAUUACAGGUAUUCACUAGCAUUUCUCUACCCAGGGAUGAACCAGGGCUGAUUCUGUUUAGCUUCCAAAAUCAAAUGGAAUCUAGUUAUCUUGGAUUUUAUGCAGAGAGAGAAGCCUUUCAAACUGAUGUGAAGUUCCUUCACAAUGUAAUAGGAUCGCUAAACAGGUGUUUGGGACAAGAGGAAGAAGGAGAGAAGAAAAAAGCCUUGGUUCUCAAGUGAAUACGAUGUUACAAGAAGAGAACACAAGCAUGUGAUGGUGGGACCUUUAACAAGCAUUUACUAGUCAAAGAUGACAGUCUAUUUACAGAGAAUGCUCAGAAAAAAUACAGUACAUGAGUUUUGCAAUUAUAUAAGUAUAAUGCCAAGUGCCGUAGGCUUGGCAGAAAGACCGGGCAAAGAAGGAGCUGUCAGAGGAAGAAUAUGGUAAAUACACCUUGCCUAAAAAAAUCUGAGAAGCUCAUGGGCCACCAUAAGUCAACAGGCAACUCAAAGGUACUUUUGCAAUUGACAUUAAUGCUUAAUAGAAAUACACAUUUUCAUUUGGUCUAAUAACACAAUAUGGACAAUGUAUAAUAGACUGUUCACUGGGUACCGGAAGUAUGACUAUUUCAGUCCUGAGACACUUUUACCAACAUUUGCCAAAUACUUGCUUUAUUUUGCCACUUUUUCUCCCUAGUCAGGUCUUUAUAGUUCUGCAUGAAAUUAUAUACUCAUCUAUCUAGAUUCCAGAACUGGUGUUGCUAAUAUUGUUGUGUGCCUUCAAAUCAUUCCUGAUGGAUGGUGACCUUAAGGUGAACUUACCAAAGGUUUUCUGGGGCUGUGAGUGUAUCACUUGGCCAGUGGGUUUUAAUGGCUGAAUGGAAAUUUGAACCCUGUUCUCCAGAGUCGUAGUUCAACACUCAAACCCUUACAUCAAAUACUAGUAAGCUUUUACUUUGACCAUGGACCUCAUCACAUUACCUUAAUUCCCCAUCCUAUAACACUUUCUCGACACAGCUGGCACAGAGCCCACCAGAUCUCAUCACAUGACAUACAUCUACUUCUGGUAGGGAUCAGUGCUGGCUGUGUCGAGGAAGCAUGGUAGGAGAGGGAAGCCUGAACACGGGAGACUGCCUGUGCUCAGGUUAGGAAUCAUGGGGACAAUGCGGGAUGGGCAAGCGAGCGGUGUGAGUGAUGUCGGGCGCUGGCCAACAGAUUCACCCUGCUGCCCCAUGAUUCACCCCGCUGCCUUGCAACCACUCCCUCCAGCUCUCCCCCACAUCAAGGACUUCAAUGUGAUGAGGUCCCAUGUCUGCAGAUAUGUACUUCACUGACUAGAUGCAAAUAAAAAUUACUUGAUCUGCAGAAAGACUGGCUAAGGUCACAGUACCACUCAAAAAGUAAAAAAAAAAAACCCACAAAAAUCCUAAUUUUUUUUACUUGAGAGGACACUUCUUUGGGAAUUUCUGUCUCCUCUGGUGCAUCUCUAUGGUUGACUUCCAUACUGGAGGACCUAGAGGUUCUUAGAGAGACUAAAUUAAUCAAACCUGCUAAAGUUUAACCUACAAAUGUAGAGGACUGAAUAUAAUAUAUCUUUGUGUUUCUCCAAAAUAAAACCUGCUGUCAAAGUUGCUUUAUAACUUCUGGACAUCACAAUACUGCAUUGUACUCUCCCACUGCACAAAGUUUUACUCUUCAAGUUUUAACAUAGACAGCAGUUAACAUCAACAACAAAAGGUACAGAGUAAACAAGAAGUGGCGUUGAGAGCUUUCUUUCGAUUUACAAAGCCAGGAGAUGAAGACAAGUGAAUGAACUCGUGUUACAAUCAAGUCUUCUGUUGACCUGAGCAGUUCCUUUUUAUCACAACAGUUCAGUUCUUUAAUUCACUAAUAUAUCCACUUGAUGUCACUAUCACUGCCCAGUAGAACAGUAUGCCAAAGGGUCAAUGCUUUAAAUACUACUCAGCUUGCUGGACAGCACACCAUCUGCGGGAAGACUGGCAUUUGGACACUAUCUUACUGCUGCCCAUUUCGUUCAUUAGGCUGCAUUGUGUUCUUGUGCUGUUCUUGUUUUGCCAGGAAGAAAAAUGUAUUUCCCAAGGCUGCAGUUUAUCAAAUGCUCCUGAGAACUGUCAGAUUCCGUGCUUCCACUGCAAGCACACAGGGAUGGAUUUCUAACUGGAUAGUAUGGCCACAGCUCUAUAGUUCAAAAAAUAGCAAAAGCUUAAUGAACCAGUGAAAGCACCCAUUCUGCCCAUUAGCACUUGGUUAUGUUUAAGUCUGAAAGUGGGGCUCUGUGAAAUAAAAUGGAUUAAAAGUU